rnacentral:rRNA from 1 species
GACGAACGCUGGCGGCGUGCCUAAUACAUGCAAGUUGAACGAUGAUUUCUGGUACUUGUAUCAGGAUGAAGAGUAGCGAACGGGUGAGAAACGCGUGGGUAACCUACCUCUUAGCGGGGGACAACUAUUGGAAACGAUAGCUAAUACCGCAUAACAAUAUUAAACACAUGUUUAAUAUUUGAAAGUACCAAUUGGUACACUAGGAGAUGGACCCGCGUUGUAUUAGCUAGUUGGUAGUGUAAUGGACUACCAAGGCGAUGAUACAUAGCCGACCUGAGAGGGUGAUCGGCCACAUUGGGACUGAGACACGGCCCAAACUCCUACGGGAGGCAGCAGUAGGGAAUCUUCGGCAAUGGACGAAAGUCUGACCGAGCAACGCCGCGUGAGUGAAGAAGGUUUUCGGAUCGUAAAACUCUGUUGUUAGAGAAGAACGUUGGUGAGAGUGGAAAGCUCAUCAAGUGACGGUAACUACCCAGAAAGGGACGGCUAACUACGUGCCAGCAGCCGCGGUAAUACGUAGGUCCCGAGCGUUGUCCGGAUUUAUUGGGCGUAAAGCGAGCGCAGGUGGUUUAUUAAGUCUGGUGUAAAAGGCAGUGGCUCAACCAUUGUAUGCAUUGGAAACUGGUAGACUUGAGUGCAGGAGAGGAGAGUGGAAUUCCAUGUGUAGCGGUGAAAUGCGUAGAUAUAUGGAGGAACACCGGUGGCGAAAGCGGCUCUCUGGACUGUAACUGACACUGAGGCUCGAAAGCGUGGGUAGCAAACA